rnacentral:rRNA from 1 species
GUGUCAGCAGCCGCGGUAAAACGUAGGACGCAAGCGUUAUCCGGAGUUACUGGGCGUAAAGCGCGGGCAGGCGGUCCCUGAAGUCCGACGUGAAAGCUCCCGGCUCAACCGGGAGAGGCCGUUGGAAACUCGAGGACUGGAGAGCAGCAGAGGUGGGCGGAAUUCCGGGUGGAGUGGUGAAAUGCGUAGAGAUCCGGAGGAACACCAGAGGCGAAGGCGGCCCACUGGGCUGCAUCUGACGCUGAGCCGCGACAGCCAGGGGAGCGAACGGGAUUAGAUACCCCCGUAGUCC